UCGACGGCCUGUCAUUUAAAUGUACCAUAAGCCUACUGUUCACUGUUCAAACGAGCCGUUCCGUCUUUAUUUUGCACGGCCCGCUCUUCAGCACCGUUAAUUACCGUUAAUGCCGUUCUGUGUGACGUCAUUUGCGCAGAUCUGCUAGAAUUGAGAAAACCUCCUUUCGUUUCACAUUCAUGUCGGUCAAGGUAACGUUAGUUUAAAAAAAUGUAGCCAUUUACAAUUAAUAUUUUCACAUUUAAGCAGUGUUGUCUCACAGAUUUGUCUGAGUGAGAGCGCGCGACACUGACGCACACUGAACGCUGUCUCUCUCUCUCUCUCAUCGUGUGUGACAGAGCGAGCGAGAGAAAGACUCACACAAGCCAAUGUAGCCUAUCCUUAUGAGAUAAUAUUUCUGCUUUUUAAUAACAAAUAAUCACAAUAAAAGUAAAACAUGUAUGCAUGUGUAUACACCAGGGAAGAAAUAAAAGUCAUAUUCAAGUAAAGUUAUAAUUAUUUUCAAAAAUGAAAAUAUUUAUUAUUUUUUUCUUUCUUUUUUCAGAUUGUCAUCCGAUUGUUGUAAGUGAUCAGUCAAGCAGUCAUCCUGCAUCUUGGAUUUGCCAUGUUCAGUUUGUACAAACAUUAUCUGAUAUUGAUGCGCUGGAUGGAGAAACUGAGAAGUUUAUAAACAGAAGGCAUGGAAGAAGAGAGCAGGUCCUACAACAAAGAAAUUCUUCUUAAGGAUAAACUUGAGGUCCUGGGAGUUCUUAGAGGUUCUAAAGUGUUUUUUAUGCAUUUGUUGAUGUCAAAUUUUCAAUAAUAAAUUCAAAUAAAUUCUCAUAGUUUUUACAUUUAUAUGGUGUCAUUCCAACUGGGGGGUAUUGAAGGG